UUAAGUUUAAAUCUUUGGUGAACAUUAUUUAUUGUUGUUCAAGUAUUCCCUUUUUUCAUACUCCUACCAUUUUUUCCUCUAAAUUCAUCCACAACCAUAAUAGAAAAUAUGGAGGAGGGUGUAGUCCUAUAACAUAUGACCUCAGGGGCAUUAUUUACUAUUUCUAUUUAUUUUUCUGAUUUUUUUUUCACUAUCAAAGUGCCACCCAUUAGACAAAAAAUAAAAAAUGAAAAUAUCAACAUGAAAACAUUAAAUAGUGAAUUAUAUAAUGCAAAG
rnacentral:lncRNA from 1 species